rnacentral:lncRNA from 1 species
GUCGUAUUGAUCCGUUUUAUUACUAGACUAUAUUGAUAAAAUUAAUUAAAAAUCAAGGUUGGGGCGCACUGGGGAAAUUAUUUUUUCUCUUAAAUCCCACAGAAUUCUUUCUCUGUCUGUUCUCCCGGUUUUUUUUUUUUUUUUUUUGGAAUUUUUUUGUUGUUUUUUGGGUGUUUUUAAUAACGUUUUUUUUUAUAAAAAAGUAAAAAAAAAAAUUUUUUGGGAGUAAGAAAAUUUGGUGUUUUUUGGGGUGUUUUUUUGCUUUUUUUUUUUAUGAAAAUUUAGGGCUCUUUUACUUGAAAUGAGGGUAAUUUUUUGGGGGUCAAAUUUUUUUUUUUUUGGAGGGGGGCGCUGGAGUCGUUCAAGUACUAUACUACUCCCCUUAGGGGAAAAAAUAAGUUUUAUAAAAAAACCCAGGAUUAAGGUUUUGGUGUGCUCUUUACAAAAAAUUUUUUUUAUUUUUUUUAUGGGGGGUAUAAAUACAAAGUGUGUUUUUUUUUCUUCUUAAUUUUGAAGUUAAAAAUCACACAAAAAUGUUGGUAAAAUUUUUAUUUUGGAUGUAAAAAGGGUUUUUUUUUCUUUAAAAUGGGGGGUCAAAAAUUGAAGAUAAUUUUUUUUUUUUGUGGGGGGCUAAAGGAGUGGUAUAUUGUGUGAUGCCUUUCCAGCAUCCAUAAAGAAUAAGAGAUGUAGUUUCAUAAUUAUAUAUUUAGAAGAGGAACUUGAAAAUGUCUAUCUAUGUUUGUCCCUUAUUCAUACAUAAUGUGUGUCAAUGCUUAUACAAAUGUCUACCAAAUAUCAAUGAUUUGCCAAUAGUAGAUCCUCUUAAUGUGACCUGAUCACCAACUUCAACAUGUAAACUCAGUCUGAUAGGCACUAGACUAAGACUUAUAGGGCAAAG